GCUUCACUGAGGAAGGGGUGCUGCUCCUUCCCCUGGGUCCUGAGUGGCUUCCCCUCAUUCCCAGCCACAGAUGCCGCUUCCCUCCCACCGGCUCAUGAGAGAAACGAGGAACCAUCGAGCAAAGGGGACAUCUGGAGUGGCAGAGAAACAAGGAACCAUCAAGCAAAGGGGGCAUCUGGGGAGCUGUGCUAAGAGAUAUAGUAGCAACCAAGGAACAUUCCAGUAGGAAACAGACAGCUGCCCACUGUUCCUGCUGAGGGAUUUUUCCUGCUCUAUUCCAUUUGGUGGAGUAAGGCACAGUGGCAUUCCUCUUGGCAGCUGAGAUUGGGUCAGGGAUGGGACCUGCCAGAUGUAAUGAAACGACUUUUCCUAGUGAGGUCAACCUGCUAGGAAGAUGGGAGUCUGUGGAUAACCAUCUCGUCUGUCUGAAGCAUAAAGUCGAGACAUGCAAAGCCAAUAAACUGAGGAGACAGAACCUAGCAACAUCAUUCAAGACCUGGAUCCCACCAUCCCUGAAGCCAGUGAAUACCCUGUAUUCCACAAUCAUGCAACCCAAUAAAGUCCUCUUUUGCAGCCG
rnacentral:lncRNA from 10 species